rnacentral:rRNA from 1 species
UACGUAGGGUGCGGGCGUUAAUCGGAAUCACUGGGCGUAAAGCGUGCGUAGGCGGUUCGUUAAGUCUGCUGCGAAAGCCCUGGGCUCAACCUGGGGACUGCAGUGGAUACUGGCGGGCUAGAGUGUGAUAGAGGAUGGUGGAAUUCCCGGAGUAGCGGUGAAAUGCGUAGAGAUCGGGAGGAACACCAGUGGCGAAGGCGGCCAUCUGGAUCAACACUGACGCUGAGGCACGAAAGCGUGGGGAGCAAACAGG